rnacentral:rRNA from 1 species
GAUGAACGCUGGCGGCGUGCCUAAUACAUGCAAGUCGAGCGAACGGACGAGAAGCUUGCUUCUCUGAUGUUAGCGGCGGACGGUUGAGUAACACGUGGAUAACCUACCUAUAAGACUGGGAUAACUUCGGGAAACCGGAGCUAAUACCGGAUGAUAUUUUGAACCGCAUGGUUCACAAGUGAAAGACGGUCUUGCUGUCACUUAUCGAUGGAUCCGCGCUGCAUUAGCUAGUUGGUAAGGUAACGGCUUACCAAGGCAACGAUGCAUAGCCGACCUGAGAGGGUGAUCGGCCACACUGGAACUGAGACACGGUCCAGACUCCUACGGGAGGCAGCAGUAGGGAAUCUUCCGCAAUGGGCGAAAGCCUGACGGAGCAACGCCGCGUGAGUGAUGAAGGUCUUCGGAUCGUAAAACUCUGUUAUUAGGGAAGAACAUAUGUGUAAGUAACUGUGCACAUCUUGACGGUACCUAAUCAGAAAGCCACGGCUAACUACGUG